GGGGUUGUGGCUCAGUGGUAGAGUGCUCGCCUAGAAUGUGCGAGGCCCUGGGUUCGAUCCUCAGCACUACA
rnacentral:tRNA from 1 species